UUUUUUUCUCCUUGUCUUUAUUUGUGUGUUUACAAACCCAAUGCAUCACAUUUGUACAGCACAUAUAUAAUAGACUAAGACAGAACAUGAACAUACAUUAAGAAAGUGCUCAAUUUAUCAGUGUUAAAUUUAACAGAUCUUAGAUUAAAUACAACUUUUAUUGUUGAGUAAACAAAGAUGAAUAUUAAACCAUGUCUGUGUUAGAGCAAUAUGCGAUGUCUUGACUUGUGAACACACAUUUUCAAAAUGCAGAGCUGAGGCCAGAAGGAAAGUGAGAAGGGGAUGAAUCCAAAUCCCCUGAGGAAGCUGAAUAUCCACCAAGGCUUGGCCUCCAUGCUGGAGGACCUGUGAAGGACCAAGGCUUGUUCUCCGAAGUUGCUUCCCAAAGAGAUGCUAACAAAGCUGGCAAACAGCUGGCUCAGUAAGACCGCUUCCAUUUUCCAGAUACCUCUUCUCAAUUAAAGCUGAAUUGUGAGGAAAAUAAAAACUUCUGAAAUAUUUAAAUAGACUUUUUUAAUAGAGAAAGAAAAUUUUACAACCAGUCAGGACAUUCCCAGUGGUUCUCCUCCUGCAUUUGCUACUGUAGCUCCUACAUGGGUGUUGGUUCUCUACAACACUCUCCUGGGAAAUCAUUUCUGAUUUAAUGGGCAAGAGGUGAGCUGUGGAUUCAGACAGUCAAGCCAAAAGAGACAAUCUUCUGUGUGGUGGAUAAUAGGUUCUCCAACUUCCCUCUUCUUCACCCAGGAAUAAGACAUAAGCAUGCCUCAACCUUGACUCUGAGGUGGAUUGCUUUCCCCACCUCCAGAUUCAGGACUACCUGGUUUGUGCACAUGACCUAAUAACAAUACUCUGAUUUGUCUUGCUUUUACAAAAAUUAGAUAUACCUGAUUCACCCACUUUGAAAUCCCAAAAUGAGUCAUAUUUGUGCAAAAAGUCCCAAAUUCUUUCUCCUGUUGUUUCUGAUUUUCAUUUGGUCCUGCAAAGAAAGAAGACUGACUAUACUUGCACUUUGUAGCUUAUGGUCAAAAUGGCACCAGGACCAUUCUUCUCUGACCCACACUGGUGAGCUCUCUCUGCAGCAGCACGCUCAUAAGAACCCAGCACCACCGCAUCUAAGUGAAAACAUCUGUCCCCAGCCAGCCCCCGUCAUAAGCCUAAACACUUAUCACUUUUUAUCUUAUUAUGCUUUUUUGCUGUAUCUUUCCAAUGUGACAGGAAUUUCAUCUCUUUCAUUAUAAACAGUCUGUGUCUUUAAAUACCAACACCCUCAUCUGGUCUGUCUACAAUUAAGAUGUUUUUAGGGUAGCUUACUUUCAUUUCACAAAUUAGUAUCAUAGCUCAAGAAGUAUGAAAAUCCCACAAAUUAAUGUGUUGCUCUUUGCAUUGAUUUCAUUUAUUCCUGUUGUCUGCCCCUAAGUGGGAUACUGACUUGAAAGGUCCAGCUAUCCUGUAGAUAAAAUUUUUGAUUGUCCAAUACUGGAAGGGUUAAAAAAUUGCAAUCACGUAGUCUGAAAAAGUAAUUUACUACUUCAAAAAUCUUCAUCGUUCAAUUCAUAGGCUCCUUAAGUUCACAUUGUCUAGUGAUUUAUCCUCAAUCAUACUUCUAAUACGUGAAUGGAAACAUUACAUUUGGUCACGGUUUGUAAAACUUACAGAUAAGUCUAAUCAGAUCUUUUCAAUAAUUCCAACUGCAGGAACGUAAGGUACAUCACAGUUAUUUUUGAUGCAAAUGGCUUUCCAAAGAGGAAAUUUCACAUUCAGAACAACCAAGUAUGAUGAAUACCACACACACUUUUUCUCUAACAAAACCACUGAAGUUUUUUGCACUCUACAUUUUCAAAGCAUCUUCUCAGUUGAUGGUGCAUUUCCACAAAGGACAAGUUUCUCCAAAAGCCUCUGGAAAUGAAUUUUGCAAAAAGAUCCGAAAAGCCAUCUUUGGUCUCUUUUCCUCUUUGUACUUGACUGACACUAAGGUCAAGAAGGUGCAUCUCCAUUCAGUCACAAUGAAACAGAACAUUGUUGGAUUUUUAUCUUCAUGAAAUAAAAACUGCACAAUAAUCACAAAUAUUAAUUAGCAUCAGAUAUAUUGAAAAAAAACCCCAAAUGAAAUAUCAAAUAGAUUAAUUUCUAAAAUUCUGGUAAGUAAAGAAACGCAAGAAAGGACACCAGUGAUCUGGAGAACAGUUCUAUGCCUUGCCCUUCUCUAGAAGAUCCCAUCUCUAAGGCAUCACACAAAUACACAGUCCAGGAUUAAUUUUUUUUUCCUUUUUAUUGUAAAAAAAUAUAUUAAUGAAUAUCUUAAGUAAUGGCUGAGAAGGCAAACUGCACUUUUGAGCUGGUGCUGAUCUUGGUGUGUGUGCAAGCCCUGAUGCCCCCCAGGCUUGCUCCCUGCUCAAGGGGACAGGGCUGGGGUUGGGGCAUUCCUCCAGCCUGGCUGAUGGCACCAUCGGUUACAAGCACAGUAAGAGAAAUGGACAGUGAGGGCUGAGGGAGAGGCAAGACAUAGGGCCAAGUUUCACCUAAAUCAGCAUGAUAAUCACAUUUCUUUGCAGAACAUUGUCCUGAACAGAGGUUGUUCUUAGCCUGAUCCUUAAUAAAGGGGAUAAUAGCUCAUGAGAACAACAGUCACAGGAGGUAUUUCUAGUCAGCUUUUGUUCUUGUGCUUACCCAGUUCAUGUGCAGCCUAAGGGUAUAAGUAGAGAAACUAUAGAGGGGAUUAACAGACUUUCUUUCCAGCAGGCCUCAUAUGCCAAAGCGAUGACUCUAUUAGCAUUGUUUUCCUUGAAAGGUUUGUUUCAAUAGCAAGCACAAAGGCACCAAACUCUUUCCUGAGGCCCUGUUUUCUCCUCUGAAGAGGAGCAAGACUUCAAUUGUGGAUCUAAACACUUUGGAGUUUCUGCUUCCAUCUGGGACAACCCAACCAAAUUUUCCACCUCCCAUUUGCAGACCAUCAUCAGGGACAAAGUGUCUGUGGGGAUCUUACACCCGUACAUGCUCCAUAUCAGCAGAGUCACAUUUUAUGAUUUUAACAUUAUUAUUUG
rnacentral:lncRNA from 1 species